UCUGGCUCUGACAGAAUUUAAGAGUAUGCUAUUUCUAAAUUUACUUUGGUUUUAAAGUUACAGUUAGUUCAUUUGUAUUUCUAAUUUUGAGAAUGCCAGUCUAUUCGCUUACACACACAGAGUGGAGACACACGUGUAAUGAAGUGAAUGGCGUCUGUGUGUAAGGCACUUGGCCUAUACCUGGAAAUCACCAUCUACCCAUGGUAUAAACUUAAAAAUGGCUCCACAACUUUAAUCCAUUUGUAAAAGAAAGAUGGAAACUUGGGGUAUUUUAUUUUCUCAUGAAGCACUAUGGAAAGCAGCAUGGUGUAGAUAUCAAAAGAAAUAAACCAAUGGAAAGUAGGGUCCUGCUUUACUGCUUAAAUUCUAACUUUCCUAGAGCUUCUAAGCAAGGCUUUAACAACGAACUAUUUUAAGCUACAAAGCAAGGAGAAGACAAGUUCAGCUGCUGUGAAACUGUGACCCAAGGUCUGCAUUAGGGUUCUGCUGCACAAACAUGAAACAGCUGGAUCCUGGAGGAACAGUGGGCUUUGAACCACUCAAGCCAUGCUCUCCUCUCCUCCCUAUCCUCAGCCUUGAAAACGAAGUCUUAAAGCCACAAUGGCAACUGAAGAGGACUCUUUUUCCAAAUGCAUACUACCUUGCCCUAAAGGAAGAUUCUCCCAGCCCACUGGUGGCCAGUGAGAUGUGAAUGGAGGGCAGCAUGGAUUUGAAAGUUACCAGCGACAACCUACAAGGAUGGGUCUCAAGAGAAGACAACAAAGGCAGAGCCAUAGUUAACCUCUGAUGGACAUAGAGCGUGAGCAAGAAAACUUUUGAUUUACUGUUUAAAAGGAUAUUUCACCAUAAAAUUCUAUUACUUUUCCUGACUGCUGGGGCUUGCCAGUCUUAGUGAGUGUUCUUGCCAUCCCCAUACAGAUAUUCAAAUGAAAUGCCUGGAAGAUUUCAUCUUCUCACUUUGUCCUGACUUGUUUAGUAAUUCUACCUACUUGAUAGUUCACAAAUUAUUUAUCACUAAUUUGACCUUAACUCAGGUUCUCUUUAUGUUCAGUCUUUCCCUUGCUUUAUGCCCCUUAAACAUUUUCAUCCACAUGAAACAGUCUGCCUUUCAAAGAGAUAGCCCAUUCUCAGGGAGGAUAAAGAGCAUGGUCAGGAACACCCCUUAUUAUACCAAACCAACCAGUCCCAAAUUUACAACCUCAAACACCUUAUCUAAUAUGUAUAUAUCAAGCCAGCAUUUCCCCUUUUCUAAAUCAUGGGGGCGGGGGGGGGGGUACCAUGCAACUAAGAAAUACCCCACUGCUCAAAGCCCACUGGCAUUAUCACAACUAGCCAAUCCCAACCGGGCAGUGGUGGCGAACACCUUUAAUCCCAGCACUCAGGAGGCAGAGCCAGGCAGAACUUUGUGAGUUCGAGGCCAGCCUCGUCUACAGAGCAAGAUCCAGGAAAGGUGCAAAGCUACACAGAGAAACCCUGUCUCAAAAAAAAAAAAAAAAACAACUAGCCAAUCCCAUUUGUCCUGCCUUGCCUUUCAUGGACCCUCUUCCAGCAAAGCUCUCAGUCUAGGCUUCCUUACAGCACAUGCUACUAUCUCACACCUGUCA